rnacentral:rRNA from 1 species
GACGAACGCUGGCGGCGUGCUUGACACAUGCAAGUCGAACGGAAAGGCCUGCUUUCCCUUGUGGAUUGCGGGUACUCGAGUGGCGAACGGGUGAGUAACACGUGAGUGAUCUGCCCCCAACUUGGGUAUAAGCCUGGGAAACUGGGUCUAAUUCCCGAUAGGACUGCAGGGUGGUGCCCGUGGUGGAAAACGAUUUUCUAGUGGUUGGGGAUGAGCUCGCGGCCUAUCAGCUUGUUGGUGGGGUAAUGGCCUACCAAGGCGGCGACGGGUAGCCGGCCUGAGAGGGUGGACGGCCACAUUGGGACUGAGAUACGGCCCAGACUCCUACGGGAGGCAGCAGCGGGGAAUAUUGCACAAUGGGCGGAAGCCUGAUGCAGCGACGCCGCGUGGGGGAUGACGGCCUUCGGGUUGUAAACUCCUUUCGACCGCGAGGAAGCCACCUGGUUGGAAGGGUGGUGACGGUAGUGGUAGAAGAAGCACCGGCUAACUACGUG